AACGUAGGACGCAAGCGUUAUCCGGAGUUACUGGGCGUAAAGCGCACGUAGGCGGUCGGCUAUGUCGGAUGUGAAAGCCUCGGGCUUAACCCGAGAAGGGCAUCCGAAACUGGCCGGCUUGAGUACGGAAGAGGGUCUCGGAAUUCCCGGUGUAGAGGUGAAAUUCGUAGAUAUCGGGAGGAACACCAGUGGCGAAGGCGGAGACCUGGGCCGAUACUGACGCUGAGGUGCGAAAGCGUGGGGAGCAAACAGG
rnacentral:rRNA from 1 species